rnacentral:rRNA from 1 species
AUUGAACGCUGGCGGCAGGCCUAACACAUGCAAGUCGAGCGAGCGGCGGACGGGUGAGUAAUGUCUGGGAAACUGCCUGAUAGAGGGGGAUAACUACUGGAAACGGUAGCUAAUACCGCAUACCAUCGGAUGUGCCCAGAUGGGAUUAGCUAGUAGGUGGGGUAAGGGCUCACCUAGGCGACGAUCCCUAGCUGGUCUGCGAGGAUGAUCAGCCACACUGGAACUGAGACACGGCCCAGACUCCUACGGGAGGCAGCAGUGGGGAAUAUUGCACAAUGGGCGCAAGCCUGAUGCAGCCAUGCCGCGUGUAUGAAGAAGGCCUUCGGGUUGUAAAGUACUUUCAGUCGGGAGGCGUUACCCGCAGAAGAAGCACCGGCUAACUCCGUGCCAGCAGCCGCGGUAAUAC